GAUGAACGCUAGCUACAGGCUUAACACAUGCAAGUCGAGGGGCAGCGCAGCGUAGCAAUACACGGGCGGCGACCGGCGCACGGGUGCGUAACGCGUAUCCAACCUUCCCGUUACUCUCGGAUAGCCUUCCGAAAGGGAGAUUAAUACGAGAUGGUGUUGAAAUUCCGCAUGUUAUUUCAACUAAAGAUUCAUCGGUAACGGAUGGGGAUGCGUGACAUUAGGUAGAUGGCGGGGUAACGGCCCACCAUGCCCACGAUGUCUAGGGGUUCUGAGAGGAAGGUACCCCCACACUGGAACUGAGACACGGUCCAG
rnacentral:rRNA from 1 species